GUUGAGCAUAGUUCAGUGUGUAUGUGUUGUGCUUUUUCACCGAGAUGUAAAAGCCAGCAAGUAGAGCAGAAACGGUCUGCUCUUUAGUUGACUGAUGUAGCUGACAAGAGAAUUUGGCAGUACGUCCAACCGGCCUCACAACCGCAGACAACAUGUAACCACGCCAGCCCAGGACCUCUACAUCCUGCUUCUUCACCUGCGGGAUCAUCUGAGACCAGCCACCAGGACAGCUGAUGAAACUGUGGGUUUGCACAUCCAAAGAAUUUCUGGGUUAUGGGCAGGCAUAAGCUACAGACAACGAACACAAUUUUAUUGAUGGCAAUUUGAAUGCACAGAAAUACCGUGACAAGAUCUAUGUUGCAAGGAUCUGUACACAAUUCCUGGAAACUGAAAAUGUCCCAGUUCUUUCAUGGCCUGCAUACUCACCAGACAAGUCACCCAUUGAGCAUGUUAAGGAUGCUCUGGAUCGACGUGUACGACAGCGUGUUCCAGUUCCAGCCAAUAUUCAGCAACUUCACACAGCCAUUGAAGAUGAGUUGGACAACAUUCAAUAGGCCACAAUCAACAGCCUGAUCAACUCUAUGUGAAGGAGAUGUGUCACGCUGCAUGAGGCAAAUGGUGGUCACACCAGACACUGACUGGUUUUCUGUUCCACUCCACUACUUUUUUAUUUUAAAGGUAUCUGUGACCAACAUAGAUAUCUGUAUUCCCAGUCGUGAAAUCCAUAGAUUAGGAUCUAAUGAUUUUAUUUAAAUUGACUGAUUUCCUUAUAUGAACUGUAACUCAGUA
rnacentral:lncRNA from 1 species